GACGAACGCUGGCGGCGUGGAUUAGGCAUGCAAGUCGAACGGUAUCAUCCUUUCGGGGGUGAGAGAGUGGCGAACUGGUGAGUAACACGUAGGUUAUCUACCCUCAAGACGGGGACAACCCAGGGAAACUUGGGCUAAUACCGGAUGUGAGCAACUUUUAGUUGUUUGAAAGGUGGCGUAAGCUGUCGCUUGGGGAUGAGCCUGCGUCCUAUUAGUUAGUUGGUGAGGUAACGGCUCACCUAGGCAAUGAUAGGUAGGCGGCCUUAACGGGUGGUCGCCCACACUGGGAUUGAGAUACGGCCCAGACUCCUACGGGAGGCAGCAGUCGAGAAUAGUCUACAAUGGUCGGAAGACUGAUAGUGCGACGCCGCGUGAACGAUGAAUCCCUUCGGGGUGUAAAGUUCUUUUAUAUGUGAGCAGUGCUUCUUAUAUUAACAGUAUGGGGAGAGAGAUAUUAGCAUAUGAAUAAGCAACGGCUAACUCCGUGCCAGCAGCUGCGGU
rnacentral:rRNA from 1 species